AGAGUUUGAUCCUGGCUCAGGAUGAACGCUAGCGACAGGCUUAACACAUGCAAGUCGAGGGGCAGCACGGGGUAGCAAUACCCCGGUGGCGACCGGCGCACGGGUGAGUAACACGUGUGCAACCAACCCCGUACCGGGAGAUAACCCGCGGAAACGUGGACUAACAUCCCAUGAUACUCGAGAGCCGCAUGGCUCUAGAUUUAAAAUUCCGGUGGUACGGGACGGGCACGCGCGACAUUAGGUAGUUGGCGGGGUAACGGCCCACCAAGCCGACGAUGUCUAGGGGUUCUGAGAGGAAGGUCCCCCACACUGGAACUGAGACACGGUCCAGACUCCUACGGGAGGCAGCAGUGAGGAAUAUUGGUCAAUGGGCGAGAGCCUGAACCAGCCAAGUCGCGUGAGGGAAGAAUGGUCUAUGGCCUGUAAACCUCUUUUGUCAAGGAAGAAUAAGCGGCACGAGUGCCACCUUGCCAGUACUUGACGAAUAAGCAUCGGCUAACUCCGUGCCAGCAGCCGCGGUAAUACGGGGGAUGCGAGCGUUAUCCGGAUUUAUUGGGUUUAAAGGGCGCGUAGGCGGGACGUCAAGUCAGCGGUAAAAGACUGCAGCUAAACUGUAGCACGCCGUUGAAACUGGCGCCCUCGAGACGAGACGAGGGAGGCGGAACAAGUGAAGUAGCGGUGAAAUGCAUAGAUAUCACUUGGAACCCCGAUAGCGAAGGCAGCUUCCCAGGCUCGUUCUGACGCUGAUGCGCGAGAGCGUGGGUAGCGAACAGGAUUAGAUACCCUGGUAGUCCACGCCGUAAACGAUGCUCACUGGAUCUUGGCGAUACACGGCCAGGGUUCAAGCGAAAGUAUUAAGUGAGCCACCUGGGGAGUACGUCGGCAACGAUGAAACUCAAAGGAAUUGACGGGGGCCCGCACAAGCGGAGGAACAUGUGGUUUAAUUCGAUGAUACGCGAGGA
rnacentral:rRNA from 1 species